UUUCUUUCUCUCUGCAUCCUCACUCAUGAGUAACCGAUGCGGUGGAUAUCCCCUUUAAGUAGAUCUCGAACAAUAAACUCCUUGGCAUGUAGCCCUCACUAAUGGUCGUGUUCGCUGGCGGCAUCCUUGCUCGCCUUAUUGGAGCACCCCCACGUUGCUUAUUGGUCUCAUCCUCAUAGCAAACUAGUAACGACCUAAGGGGGAGAUUUGAAUUUAGGCUACGCCGCUCCUCGACGUCCUCUUCAAGACCUCAACGCCAUGGGCCUGUUCUGCCUGACCCUCUCAGCUCUAAAGCUCCACGCCGUUGUUAGCGUAGAUGGCGCCUACACAUGGGUGCAACAACCAAUUGAGCAGGUACGGAGUGCAUGGUGAUGACAUGGUGCAUUAUUUCUUGCUCCCUCUGCCCUGAUUCAUGGUUGAUCUUCUUGCUCUUCAACAAGAAGUUACUUCAAUCGUUCGAUGGAUUUGGCCAAACAAAUGCUUAAUGUUGUUAUUUUGCCUUGAAUUUCACAAUGCCAUUACAAGUAUUCGGUCGAUGGCAAAUCCUUAUUCUCAAGUGGUUAUCUUUAACUUGAUUUAGUUGUGGACAAAGAUUUAGCUAAAUAUAGAAUAAUUAUGUAUUAGCCAAUAAUGCAUCAUGUGUUCUAUUCUUUGGGGCUAUCA